rnacentral:rRNA from 1 species
AAAAAGCUCGUAGUCGAAUCUGUGUCUCGCGCCGCCGGUUCAUCGCUCGCGGUGUUUAACUGGCGUGUCCGCGGGACGUCCUGCCGGUGGGCUCAGCUCGCGAGGGCGGCCCAACUUCGAAUCCCGCCGCGGUGCUCUUCACUGAGUGUCGAGGCGGGCCGGCACGUUUACUUUGAACAAAUUAGAGUGCUUAAAGCAGGCUAAAACUUCGCCUGAAUACUGUGUGCAUGGAAUAAUGGAAUAGGACCUCGGUUCUAUUUUGUUGGUUUUCGGAACCCCGAGGUAAUGAUUAAUAGGAACGGAUGGGGGCAUUCGUAUUGCGACGUUAGAGGUGAAAUUCUUGGAUCGUCGCAAGACGGACAGAAGCGAAAGCAUUUGCCAAAAACGUUUUCAUUGAUCAAGAACGAAAGUUAGAGGUUCGAAGGCGAUCAGAUACCGCCCUAGUUCUAACCAUAAACGAUGCCAGCUAGCGAUCCGCCGACGUUCCUCCGAUGACUCGGCGGGCAGCUUCCGGGAAACCAAAGCUUUUGGGUUCCGGGGGAAGUAUGGUUGCAAAGCUGAAACUUAAAGGAAUUGACGGAAGGGCACCACCAGGAGUGGAGCCUGCGGCUUAAUUUGACUCAACACGGGAAACCUCACCAGGCCCGGACACCGGAAGGAUUGACAGAUUGAGAGCUCUUUCUUGAUUCGGUGGGUGGUGGUGCAUGGCCGUUCUUAGUUGGUGGAGCGAUUUGUCUGGUUAAU